rnacentral:lncRNA from 1 species
CUGUAAUAUUUAUUUUCCAUUUGAUCACUUUCAGUCUGAUUCACUGGAACCAGGGAAGAGGGAAAUGGGAAUGGACCUGAGGACUCAGUACACCUGUGGCUCAGUCAAGGUAAAGGAAUCCAGAGCACACAGAAACGGGCCAGUUUCCAAAUUGGCCUACUAAAUUCAAAUCUCCAGGGAAAGAUUCCUUGUGAGAUCCAGCCCGUUACUCCGGGUACCACCUUCCUCUCAUGAACCGACCCUCAACUUGGAAAACUGUCUCCAGAGUAAUGUAAGAUGCCAUCACACUCUAGUCACAAAGUGCAACAACAAUGUUAUAACCAUUAAUAAAAGGUAAGAAAUAAAAUCUUUCCUCUGAAUA